CAGGACUCUGCCUUUUGCCCCUCUGGCAAAAUUUGCACAGACACCCCCACACAUACACACACCAGCUUGGCUGAGCCCCUCCUGCAGCCAGGUUUUGUGUAGCUGUUCAAGGAAGGCUGUCAUACCCCAUCUCUUGCCGCCCAGCUGACCACAUCUGUGUGAGGCCGAGGACUGGCUCAGUGACGCGGUGGGCCCUGUUGACCGCUGGCUUCAGAUGCUGAGCCCCAGAACAACCCAGAGGCAGCUUCAGGCCCCGAGGAGGACCUUUCACAUUAGCCUUCAGGGGCAAAGAGCAACAGACAUCGUCUCCGAGCAAGCACGGUGUGGCAGCGUGUUCAAAGUCCCUGUGCCGUUUCCACCUGGAAGAGUGCUGUGCUCCUGAGCAGAUGACCUAGAACCUUGUCAGGAGGUGCUGUUGAGCAGGGCCAGCGUGCAUGGGUGUGGGGGACAGAUAUAAAUGACUUUCACCAAUGAAAGCAGCGAUGGGCUCAGAGUACCGGUGCCUUCCCAGGCUGGGACAGUAAGUAGUCCAACCAGCAUGGCCACCCCACAGGGUACGUAUGUCCACAGGACCGAGAUCCAUGUUUAAUUCACACCCACAUGAUGGCAGGAAGUCACAGCAUGAGUUAGACUUGGUGGGGAGGUGUUCACAGUGAGCAAGGGCCUCCUGCUGGUGCACGGGUGACUUUGGAAGAAAGGGCUGUUGGCCAAUGGAGUAGGUUGCUCUGGUCUCUGGCCUGGGACUUCUGGGAGAUGGGCAGGAUGGCAGUCCCUGGAUUCAUCAGAAGUGCCUGGCACACUUGCCCCACUAGAUUUGCUGAUCCAAGAGCAGGGGACAAUUCCUUAUCUCAGUCGCAGGGUCAGAGGGUCCUCGGGAUGGUGUGGCUGGGUGGUGACGGUUGGGGCUGGCACUCUAUCCCUUCCCAUCCAUCCUUCACAGAAAGCCUUUCUGUAGUUCAGGGGUUGAGAUACUUGCCACCAAAUGGCCUGAUGGAGGUUAUUCUCUAACCAUUGCAUGCCCCGCCCAGAUAG
ensembl:lncRNA